CCAACACGGAGGAAGAGAACGAAAUUGUGGAGAGACAUCGCCAAGUGUGGUAACCAUUCCACUGUUUUUCAACUGUCACAAUCCAGCUGUUUCAGACAAUUUUGAAGGUCUUGUCGUAACUCUCUAACUAAGAGUUAGAUAUCAGGAAGUCUAGUUUCUACUUUGAGAAACAAUAAAGUUUCUACUUUGAGAUACAAAAGAAACUUUGUAUAGAAUCUGAUCAAUAAAUCAAAGGAACUAUCACCUUUUUGGAGUCUUGUUUCUUAUUUUCCAAUACACUACAAAUCAGUAAACUAGACUCAACAAAUCAAUAGGUAACACUGUUGUUUUUAAGAGGUUACCGCUGACAAAACAUUUUUCAAACUCUCGUAAAAAAGGCAACCCAAGGAUCUUUAAUGUCCCCCAAUAGAAUAAAAGUUUCUGGAAGAAAUUUCAAGGGUGAAGAAAGCAAAUAGAAGAAGCAUCAGGCGUCUCGCAUCAUUAAUACAAAGACAGAAGAUGCGAUAGGGGUUGAGCAGUUUAACCGUCCCCCUGUGUUUUUUGGGGAAAUUUCUU